AUCAUGAGGGGGGCAUGGGCUGUUGGCGCUCGCAUGGCGAGCGCUCACGGCAUGUCUGUGCUGCUGCGAAGGACCCACACCCGCCACCACGGCUCCGCGAGAAGCAUCACCACUGGAGGUAACAUCAUGCCACGACAUCGCAUGGUCUGUCCAAGUUGUCCACUCUCCUGACAAUAUUUGACAGAAUGAACAUCCGGUGUCACGUCCAAGCCUCCGCGAAA
rnacentral:RNase_MRP_RNA from 1 species